AGUUGAGACCCAGGCAGCCUUGUAAAUCUGCUGCCCCCAAAUCCAGAUGAAAAGAAACACAGAUUUAACACUGACUUCUCCUUGAACCAGCUGAUAAUUUUUUUUAAUGAACUUCUACUCCAUCGUCUCCAGUUCUCCAAGGAAUGAGUGCUCUGACAGCGCAGACAAGGACCAGAUGUCCGGUGGAGGGUCAGUCUGUGCUGCCUGCUCCAAUCUGGCCCUGGAGACGUGAGGGAGGAUCGCCGGGAGACAGUUGUAUGUAGUCCAAAUCUUCCUCGAGAGCCAACUUGUCAUGGAUUCCAUCCCCAAAUUCCAGAGUUUCUCAAACAAAAGGAGCCCUGGUGAGAACGGAGCUGCAAUUGGCCAGUGGGAGAGACAUGGAGAUCGCCAAGAGUGGGAGCACCCUUUCAGAUGGUUCGGUCCAAUCCUCCUCAUUUUGUACAUCAAAAAAAA